rnacentral:rRNA from 1 species
CCUACGGGAGGCAGCAGUGAGGACUAUUGGUCAAUGGCCGGAAGGCUGAACCAGCCAAGCCGCGUGCAGGACGACGGUGCCACGCAUUGUAAACUUCUUUUGUCAAGGGACAAAAUCAGGCUCGAGAGCCUGACCGAGGGUACUUGAAGAAAAAGCAUCGGCUAACUCCGUGCCAGCAGCCGCGGUAAUACGGAGGAUGCGAGCGUUAUCCGGAUUUAUUGGGUUUAAAGGGUGCGUAGGCGGGCUGUUAAGUCAGCGGUAAAAGGCCGGGGCUCAAGCCCGGCGAGCCGUUGAAACUGGCUGUCUUGAGAUGGCGAGGGGUAGGCGGAAGG